rnacentral:rRNA from 1 species
CUGACUGACCGAUAGUGAACCAGUACCGUGAGGGAAAGGCGAAAAGAACCCCGGCGAGGGGAGUGAAAAAGAACCUGAAACCGUGUACGUACAAGCAGUGGGAGCACGCUUAGGCGUGUGACUGCGUACCUUUUGUAUAAUGGGUCAGCGACUUAUAUUCUGUAGCAAGGUUAACCGAAUAGGGGAGCCGAAGGGAAACCGAGUCUUAACUGGGCGUUAAGUUGCAGGGUAUAGACCCGAAACCCGGUGAUCUAGCCAUGGGCAGGUUGAAGGUUGGGUAACACUAACUGGAGGACCGAACCGACUAAUGUUGAAAAAUUAGCGGAUGACUUGUGGCUGGGGGUGAAAGGCCAAUCAAACCGGGAGAUAGCUGGUUCUCCCCGAAAGCUAUUUAGGUAGCGCCUCGUGAAUUCAUCUCCGGGGGUAGAGCACUGUUUCGGCAAGGGGGUCAUCCCGACUUACCAACCCGAUGCAAACUGCGAAUACCGGAGAAUGUUAUCACGGGAGACACACGGCGGGUGCUAACGUCCGUCGUGAAGAGGGAAACAACCCAGACCGCCAGCUAAGGUCCCAAAGUCAUGGUUAAGUGGGAAACGAUGUGGGAAGGCCCAGACAGCCAGGAUGUUGGCUUAGAAGCAGCCAUCAUUUAAAGAAAGCGUAAUAGCUCACUGGUCGAGUCGGCCUGCGCGGAAGAUGUAACGGGGCUAAACCAUGCACCGAAGCUGCGGCAGCGACGCUUAUGCGUUGUUGGGUAGGGGAGCGUUCUGUAAGCCUGUGAAGGUGUGCUGUGAGGUAUGCUGGAGGUAUCAGAAGUGCGAAUGCUGACAUAAGUAACGAUAAAGCGGGUGAAAAGCCCGCUCGCCGGAAGACCAAGGGUUCCUGUCCAACGUUAAUCGGGGCAGGGUGAGUCGACCCCUAAGGCGAGGCCGAAAGGCGUAGUCGAUGGGAAACAGGUUAAUAUUCCUGUACUUGGUGUUACUGCGAAGGGGGGACGGAGAAGGCUAUGUUGGCCGGGCGACGGUUGUCCCGGUUUAAGCGUGUAGGCUGGUUUUCCAGGCAAAUCCGGAAAAUCAAGGCCGAGGCGUGAUGACGAGGCACUACGGUGCUGAAGCAACAAAUGCCCUGCUUCCAGGAAAAGCCUCUAAGCAUCAGGUAACAUCAAAUCGUACCCCAAACCGACACAGGUGGUCAGGUAGAGAAUACCAAGGCGCUUGAGAGAACUCGGGUGAAGGAACUAGGCAAAAUGGUGCCGUAACUUCGGGAGAAGGCACGCUGAUACGUAGGUGAAGCGACUUGCUCGUGGAGCUGAAAUCAGUCGAAGAUACCAGCUGGCUGCAACUGUUUAUUAAAAACACAGCACUGUGCAAACACGAAAGUGGACGUAUACGGUGUGACGCCUGCCCGGUGCCGGAAGGUUAAUUGAUGGGGUUAGCGCAAGCGAAGCUCUUGAUCGAAGCCCCGGUAAACGGCGGCCGUAACUAUAACGGUCCUAAGGUAGCGAAAUUCCUUGUCGGGUAAGUUCCGACCUGCACGAAUGGCGUAAUGAUGGCCAGGCUGUCUCCACCCGAGACUCAGUGAAAUUGAACUCGCUGUGAAGAUGCAGUGUACCCGCGGCAAGACGGAAAGACCCCGUGAACCUUUACUAUAGCUUGACACUGAACAUUGAGCCUUGAUGUGUAGGAUAGGUGGGAGGCUUUGAAGUGUGGACGCCAGUCUGCAUGGAGCCGACCUUGAAAUACCACCCUUUAAUGUUUGAUGUUCUAACGUGGACCCGUGAUCCGGGUUGCGGACAGUGUCUGGUGGGUAGUUUGACUGGGGCGGUCUCCUCCUAAAGAGUAACGGAGGAGCACGAAGGUUGGCUAAUCCUGGUCGGACAUCAGGAGGUUAGUGCAAUGGCAUAAGCCAGCUUGACUGCGAGCGUGACGGCGCGAGCAGGUGCGAAAGCAGGUCAUAGUGAUCCGGUGGUUCUGAAUGGAAGGGCCAUCGCUCAACGGAUAAAAGGUACUCCGGGGAUAACAGGCUGAUACCGCCCAAGAGUUCAUAUCGACGGCGGUGUUUGGCACCUCGAUGUCGGCUCAUCACAUCCUGGGGCUGAAGUAGGUCCCAAGGGUAUGGCUGUUCGCCAUUUAAAGUGGUACGCGAGCUGGGUUUAGAACGUCGUGAGACAGUUCGGUCCCUAUCUGCCGUGGGCGCUGGAGAACUGAGGGGGGCUGCUCCUAGUACGAGAGGACCGGAGUGGACGCAUCACUGGUGUUCGGGUUGUCAUGCCAAUGGCACUGCCCGGUAGCUAAAUGCGGAAGAGAUAAGUGCUGAAAGCAUCUAAGCACGAAACUUGCCCCGAGAUGAGUUCUCCCUGACCCUUUAAGGGUCCUGAAGGAACGUUGAAGACGACGACGUUGAUAGGCCGGGUGUGUAAGCGCAGCGAUGCGUUGAGCUAACCGGUACUAAUGAACCGUGAGGCUUAACCUUACAACGCCGAAG